UGGGGAAUUUUGGACAAUGGGCGAAAGCCUGAUCCAGCAAUGCCGCGUGUGUGAAGAAGGCCUUCGGGUUGUAAAGCACUUUUGUCCGGAAAGAAAUCCUUGGCUCUAAUACAGUCGGGGGAUGACGGUACCGGAAGAAUAAGCACCGGGCUAACUACGUGCCAGCAGCCGCGGUAAUACGUAGGGUGCAAGCGUUAAUCGGAAUUACUGGGCGUAAAGCGUGCGCAGGCGGUUUGCUAAGACCGAUGUGAAAUCCCCGGGCUCAACCUGGGAACUGCAUUGGUGACUGGCAGGCUAGAGUAUGGCAGGAGGGGGGUAGAAUUCCACGUGUAGCAGUGAAAGUGCGUAGAGAUGUGGAGGAAUACCGAUGGCGAAGGCAGCCCCCUGGGCCAAAUACUGACGCUCAUGCACGAAAGCGUGGGGGAGCAAACAGGAUUCAGAUACCCUGGGUAGUCCACGCCCUAAAGCGAUGUCAACUAGUUGUUGGGGACUUCAUUUCCUUAGUAACGUAGCUAACGCGUGAAGUUGACCGCCUGGGGAGUACGGUCGCAAGAUU
rnacentral:rRNA from 1 species